GACGAACGCUGGCGGCGUGCUUAACACAUGCAAGUCGAGCGGUAAGGCCCUUUCGGGGGUACACGAGCGGCGAACGGGUGAGUAACACGUGGGUGACCUGCCCUCAGCUCUGGGAUGAGCCUGGGAAACUGGGUCUAAUACUGGAUAUGACUCCACGGUGCAUGUCGUGGGGUGGAAAGCCUUGUGCGGCUGAGGAUGGGCCCGCGGCCUAUCAGCUUGUUGGUGGGGUGAUGGCCUACCAAGGCGACGACGGGUAGCCGGCCUGAGAGGGCGACCGGCCACACUGGGACUGAGACACGGCCCAGACUCCGUACGGGAGGCAGCAGUGGGGAAUCUUGCGCAAUGGGCGAAAGCCUGACGCAGCGACGCCGCGUGAGGGAUGACGGCCUU
rnacentral:rRNA from 1 species